CCUACGGGUGGCAGCAGUGAGGAAUAUUGGUCAAUGGCCGAGAGCCUGAACCAGCCAAGUCGCGUGAGGGAGGACGGCCCUACGGGUUGUAAACCUCUUUUGUCGGGGAGCAAAGACCGGGACUAGUCCCCCCUCGAGGGUACCCGGAGAAAAAGCAUCGGCUAACUCCGUGCCAGCAGCCGCGGUAAUUCGGAGGAUGCGAGCGUUAUCCGGAUUUAUUGGGUUUAAAGGGUGCGCAGGCGGACGUGAAAGUCAGCGGUAAAAUGGAGGGGCUCAACCCCGUCCGGCCGUUGAAACUGGGGGUCUGGAGUGGGCGAGAAGUACGCGGAAUGCGUGGUGUAGCGGUGAAAUGCAUAGAUAUCGCGCAGAACCCCGAGUGCGAAGGCAGCGUACCGGCGCCCAACUGACGCUCAGGCACGAAAGCGUGGGUAUCGAACAGGAUUAGAUACCCGGGUAGUC
rnacentral:rRNA from 1 species